GCACAUGCUUGGGAGUGUCAAUACUAAGAGUAUCCUGGGGAACAGGGCAAACCAACUCCUUUUCUGUUUCUCCUUUUCAGCAAAGGAGCAGAGGUGCUACCUCGACCCGAAUGUCUGGUCUUUGGAGGUUGUAACAGAAGACAUCAGAGCAUACCGGGAACAGUGGGGCAAUGCCUGAGGAGAGCUGUAGCCUCUGAAGGAGGCCUCUGUGCAUUCCCCUUCCCCAUCACCCAGGGGAGGGCCUUCACCCUCCCCACCUCCUGAGCCCGCCCUCACUCUCAGACCCCGCCCCCACUCGCUUAGGCUCCUGGCUUCUCUCUAGCUUCUUUCUCUCUUCCCCUCAUGCCUCCAUCCCUGUAUCUCACCCUGCUGGCCUCGACCUUCUCGUCACCCUGACAUCGCUGGCAAGUAUGAUGGGAAUGGAAGAGUCUAUUGACAAAAGGGAAAGGAUUUCCUUUUUCC
rnacentral:lncRNA from 1 species